AGCGCUUCCGCACCGCAGACAACGGGCCCGGCCCGGCCCGGCCCGCGCUACCGCCCCCGCCCCCGCCAUGGGCGCCCCCUUGCCCGGGCCUCCGUCAUCCCCGGCCGGCCAGCUAGGCCCGGUGCGUCAGUAGUGGGUUGUGUCGAGAAAAAGCAACAUUAAUAGUAAAAGCAACAUUAAUAGUAAAAGCUGCAUCAUCAGUGUUGUUUCUCAUCAAGGCACAGCAAAACAGACCAAGAAAGCUUGAGAGAAUGCCAGUUGGUACUGCUUGUCAUCAGAAUUUUUCUAGAUAACACUGUUGCUUCUGAAAGGAAGCCAGAGAGGAGUAACAGAGCGAUUUGGACCCAACAGAGGGCCCAUGGCAAGGGACAAACUUCCAUCAUCAUCACACCAUCACUUGUAAGCUUUUUCCACAAUUUGUCUUACAGUUGAAGUGACCGUUCCUUCUUGUCCACCCAGUUCUACUUUGCAAGGCAUAGGAACCAUCAGAUCUCUGCACAUUCAUAGCUGAAUCCUGCUCUCUCUAUUCCAACAAUAUAACAACUAAGACCGGCUCAGAAUUUGAACUGAAGACUCAAUUGCUGGUCCAUGUGAACCCGUUACAAAGCACAAGUUGACAUAUAGACAGGAGAAAAAAUAUCAAAUAAUAAAUUGAAAGAAAUGCAAAACGAAUCACUUCCAUGAUCAUGGACUCAUUAAUUCAUGGCAAGUAUAACUUUAUUUGCAAGAAUGCUAGCAAGGAAUGACAAGUUUCUCCUAGCUUUGAUUAACUUUGCUUUGGUCAGCUUGAAUCUCCAUUAUCUUCUUAUUUAUAUACAGUGCUCAAUUCUUUCCUAGUAGGAUAGAUUUCUAUUAUGACCUGCACACUAAGUCAGAACAGAAUUUGUCCGUAUAUUUUGUGUUUUAUAAAUUAGCUGUGACGGAUGGAUUUGCCAAAUAUUAUUCACCAGUAACUGUUUCUUUGCAGUAAUUGGAAUAUAAAGAGAUGUGGGUUAGGAUAAUGGGCCACUGACUUCAGUGGGGCUAUAUUGGGUAGAACAUGGCCUACUGCAUAUAUUUGUAAAAAGAAUAUUAACUGAAUUAUAUCAAGCCAUUAGCUUUACUCCCAUUUUAGUCUAUUGCAAAAUAAGUACUUAUACUUAUUUUUCAGAUAUUGUUCACCCAAAUAAACAAAAAUAUAUUAAAAAUCCUCAUGAAAUUUGCUUUAAAAAUAUUCAGUGAACAUAUGCAAUAUCCAGUAUCAAAGGUCAACAUCCCAGAUGGUGACACA